GAUGAACGCUGGCGGCGUGCCUAAUACAUGCGAGUCGAGCGAACAGACGAGGAGCUUGCUCCUCUGACGUUAGCGGCGGACGGGUGAGUAACACGUGGAUAACCUACCUAUAAGACUGGGAUAACUUCGGGAAACCGGAGCUAAUACCGGAGAAUAUAUUGAACCGCAGGGUUCAAUAGUGAAAGACGGUUUUGCUGUCACUUAUAGAUGGAUCCGCGCCGCAUUAGCUAGUUGGUAAGGUAACGGCUUACCAAGGCAACGAUGCGCAGCCGACCUGAGAGGGUGAUCGGCCACACUGGAACUGAGACACGGUCCAGACUCCUACGGGAGGCAGCAGUAGGGAAUCUUCCGCAAUGGGCGAAAGCCUGACGGAGCAACGCCGCGUGAGUGAUGAAGGUCUUCGGAUCGUAAAACUCUGUUAUUAGGGAAGAACAAAUGUGUAAGUAACUAUGCACGUCUUGACGGUACCUAAUCAGAAAGCCACGGCUAACUACGUG
rnacentral:rRNA from 1 species